AUUGAACGCUGGCGGCAUGCUUUACACAUGCAAGUCGAACGGUAACAGGCCGCAAGGUGCUGACGAGUGGCGAACGGGUGAGUAAUGCAUCGGAACGUGCCCAGUCGUGGGGGAUAACGCAGCGAAAGCUGUGCUAAUACCGCAUACGAUCUGUGGAUGAAAGCGGGGGACCUUCGGGCCUCGCGCGAUUGGAGCGGCCGAUGUCAGAUUAGGUAGUUGGUGGGGUAAAGGCUCACCAAGCCGACGAUCUGUAGCUGGUCUGAGAGGACGACCAGCCACACUGGGACUGAGACACGGCCCAGACUCCUACGGGAGGCAGCAGUGGGGAAUUUUGGACAAUGGGCGCAAGCCUGAUCCAGCAAUGCCGCGUGCAGGAAGAAGGCCUUCGGGUUGUAAACUGCUUUUGUACGGAGCGAAAAGGCUCCCUCUAAUACAGGGGGCUCAUGACGGUACCGUAAGAAUAAGCACCGGCUAACUACGUGCCAGCCGCCGCCGUAAAAC
rnacentral:rRNA from 1 species